GGGAGUUUUCUGCUUUUAUCUUACCAGCUGGCCAUCUUAAACAAACAUAAUCGGACAAUACAGCAACCUUCCAAGUCAGAAGCUAACGCACAAAUAUUUACUGGUGGAGUCAUCCAAGGCCAAAGAUGAUGUUACAUUGAGGUCUUACGAGGCAUGAAGGUGCCUCUUGGUCGCUGAUGAUGAAAUCUCGUGUCGAAACAUGAUAUCAGUUGGAAGGAGGCCAGCCAGUAAUCCCCACGUGCAGCCAAGCACACUACAGCCUUUACCUGAACUACCAUGUGCAUGAAUGUUCCAACAGAAACUCAAGAACAGCUGAGUUCAUAUAUAUAUAUUUGACUUUUUGCAUGUAACACAAUCGCUCGAGUAAUGCUAAUGGCUUUUGCAAUGAAUUAAUUGCAAUUGUUCAAAAGGUCCAGACAAUUAAAAUCGACUUAAAAACACUAGUAAAAUGA